rnacentral:rRNA from 1 species
UACGUAGGCAGCAAGCGUUUGUUCGGAGUUACUGGGCGUAAAGAGUGUGUAGGCGGUUCGCUAAGUUUGGUGUGAAAUCUCCCGGCUUAACUGGGAGGGUGCGCCGAAUACUGGCGGGCUAGAGUGUGGGGAGAGGGAAGCGGAAUUCCUGGUGUAGCGGUGAAAUGCGUAGAUAUCAGGAGGAACACCGGCGGUGUAGACGGCUUUCUGGACCGUAGCUGACGCUGAGACACGAAAGCGUGGGGUAGCAAACAGG